rnacentral:lncRNA from 1 species
AGGGUGAAGGCUGCAGGGAGGAUUGGCUGGAAUACGUCUUCCUGCAGGUUCAGGGCUGGAGUGAGGUCUGAAGGUGUGUGGCAGGUUCUCUCUUGGAGGAAUGGAACUGAUGAAGUGCUGGAGUUUGGGGUCCUGGUGCAGCUGUUGUCUGAAGGUCCUGAUCCUGGGCUGGGAGGUGCAGCGCUGGAUCUGCUGAAGGAGCAGAGGCAAGAGCUGAAUUUCUGCAUGGCAGCAUCUCUUGAAUGCAGUAGAGCUUCCCCAGCUUGAAGAUGGGUGUGCUAUCCAUAUGCCAGAGGAGUGGCAUCAACUGUCUUGUAAUAAACUUCUCAUUUCCUUUUUUAAGAUGAGCCCACUGCGACCUGUCUGGUUUCUUACUAGUUAACUCAGGAGCGUGCUUCUCAGAGAAACUCUUUGUGUUGAAUCUCAGUGAGUGAGUUACUGUGAACCUUCCUCCCAAACUGAGACUGAACUCAAGCAGAAGUGACAAUAUGUUGUACUCUGCAUGUAGCUCUUUAACAGAAGACAUGGAACUCUGGGGUUGUGCCUUUGUGUUAAAUGUUUGCAUGCAGUGUAUUGCAUCUUCAUGUGAGAGUCUGC